UCUUAAUCUUUGGGGAAAGUAGAGACUCCCUAAAAAACACAGUAAAAGCUGAAUGAGCUGGCCAGGCAUAGUGGCUCAUGCCUGUAAUCCCAGCCCUUUGGGAGCCCAGGGCAAGAGGAUCGCUUUAGCCUAGGAGUUGAAGACCAGCCAGGGCAACAUGGCAAAACCCUGUCUCUACAAACCACCCCCUCCCCACCAAAAAAAAAAAAAAAAAAAGCUGAGUGUGGUGGUGCACACCUGUAGUCCUAGCUACUUGGCGGGCUAAACUGGGAGGAACACCUGAACCCAGGGAGGUCAAGGCUGCAGUGAGCCAUGAUUGUGCCACUGCACUCCAGCCUAGGUGACAGAGUGAGCCACUGUCUCAAAAAAAAAAAAAAAAAAGGAAUGAUCCUCUUCUCAGAAAGCUUAAAUCUUAUUUUCUCAAAAAUAAAAAUUCAGAUAGAUAUUCCUGAAUAAUUGUUAGAACAGUGCAAGAGUGGUGAUGUUCAGACUUUGAUGUGAAUGCUCAUCCCCUAGGGAUCUUGUUAAAAUGCAGGUUCUGACUCGUAGGUGCGAGGUGAGGCUGGUAAGUCUGCAUCUCUAAUAAGCUCCCAUAGAUGUGGGCCAUAGUAGGACCAGCCUUGAAGAGAUUAGAAUGUGUUGGUAUCUAAAGGUCUGUUAGUCUUCAGAUAACAAUCCCAUAAGUUUCAGUUGGCCUCUGAUAAGGUACACAAUGAACCUAAAUAAAUCAGUAAAUGCACAAACACUUAUUUUGGUCCUUGAAAGGCUAGAGGUUAUAAUAAGAGUUGAAGAUCUAAAAUGCCUUAAACCUUCUGUUUAAUACCUUUUAAUGGCAUACUGUGAUCAGAAAUAGCUAUUUCAGUUAGUUAAACAGCCCAACUGUUCUUGUCCUGUUUUUUCUUAAAUUAAACUCAGAGGCACUCACACAUCUGAAAAAUUAAUGAGGGUAAAAGAAAAUGAAAGAUACUACUUGUCACAGACUUUUUUUUAAAUGAUAACUUGAAUCAAUAACUUGAUUAGACUAUGAUGCUUUUGAUGCUUUCAAAACUGUUUGAGGUAUGUAGGUGUCUUUUCCUGUAGAGUUGAUUACCCUGGUCUGUUGUGGUUCUUGAGUACUUAAGAUUUUUUAUCUUCUCUGUUGUUCCCUUAUUAGCAAUUUUAUCCCCUUCUGAUCUGAUACUGACUUGGAAAGCUCGUCACCCACCUUGUUAGAAUUGUUAAGUAAAUAUAAAUAGACUUUGAGAAGGAAAGGUCUCAAGGGUGGCUCACUAGAUACUUAAGUCAUAGAUUGAUCAAGUAUCUCUGCAUGAGGUUAUUAGCAAAACAUUUAAAAAGACACUUUAAGACUUCUCUCAUUAGGGACUAAACCAGAAAGGUAUAGGGCUCAUCCUUCAUAAAAAUCAUGAAUAAGCAAUAAAAAGGGUAAAAUGGAAAACUGGAAUCUAUAUUUGAAUGUGAGAUUCUCAUCUUUUUAGCUUUAAGAUUUUUUAAGUUUUACCAGUUUUCCUCAAAGAGAAGAUGAAGUUACUUCAAGAGAACUGAUUUCUGUCAUGUGAGUGUAGCAACAAAAUGCUUCAACAAGUUCCAGAAAACAUAAAUUUUCCUGCUGAAGAAGAGAAAAUCUUGGAGUUUUGGACUGAAUUUAAUUGUUUUCAGGAAUGCUUAAAGCAAUCAAAACAUAAACCAAAAUUUACCUUCUAUGAUGGUCCUCCUUUUGCAACUGGACUGCCUCACUAUGGACAUAUACUUGCGGGUACAAUUAAAGAUAUAGUUACAAGAUAUGCUCACCAGAGUGGGUUUCAUGUUGACAGAAGAUUUGGAUGGGAUUGCCAUGGCUUACCUGUGGAAUAUGAAAUUGAUAAGACACUGGGAAUCAGAGGACCAGAGGAUGUGGCCAAAAUGGGGAUUACAGAGUAUAACAAUCAGUGCCGA
rnacentral:lncRNA from 10 species